rnacentral:rRNA from 1 species
UAAUACUGGAUAGGCAAUUAUUCCUGUAAUGGUUUUUUGUUUAAAUGUUUUUUCGCCUAAGGAUGGGUCUGCGGCCGAUUAGGUAGUUGGUUAGGUAAUGGCUUACCAAGCCUGUAAUCGGUACGGGUUGUGGGAGCAAGAGCCCGGAGAUGGAUUCUGAGACACGAAUCCAGGCCCUACGGGGCGCAGCAGGCGCGAAAACUUUACCAUGCGGGCAACCGUGAUAAGGAAACCCCGAGUGCCAGCACAGGCUGGCUGUCCGCCAGUUUAAACAACUGGCGAAGAAAGGGCCGGGCAAGACCGGUGCCAGCCGCCGCGGUAAUACCGGCGGCUCGAGUGGUGGCCGCUAUUACUGGGCUUAAAGGGUCCGUAGCUUGAUAAUAGGGUCCCUUGAGAAAUCCGCCGGCUUAACUGGCGGGCGUUCAGGGGAAACUUGUUUUCUAGGGACCGGGAGAGGUGAGGGGUACUGCCGGGGUAGGAGUGAAAUCCUGUAAUCCCGGUGGGACCACCUAUGGCGAAGGCAUCUCACCAGAACGGGUCCGACAGUGAGGGACGAAAGCUGGGGGAGCAAACCGGAUUAGAUACCCGGGUAGUCCCAGCUGUAAACUAUGUGCGUUAGGUGUGC